rnacentral:rRNA from 1 species
CCUACGGGGUGCAGCAGUGGGGGAUAUUGCACACUGGGGGAAACCCUGAUGCAGCGACGCCGCGUGAGUGAAGACGUGCUUCGGCAUGUAAAGCCCUAUCGGCAGGGAAGAUGCAAGACGGUACCUGACUAAGAAGCCCCGGCUAACUACGUGCGAGCGGACGCGGUAAUACGUAGGGGGCGAGCGUUAUCCGGAUUCCUUGGGGGUAAAGGGAGCGUAGACGUCAAUGCAGGCCAGGGGUGAAAGCCCGGGGCUCAACCCCGGAACUGCGUUUGAAACUGGACGGCUGGAGUGCGGGAGGGGUAGGCGGAAUUCCUGGUGUAGCGGUGAAAUGCGUAGAUAUCAGGAGGAACACCGGUGGCGAAGGCGG